ensembl:lncRNA novel transcript
CGGUCAUCUGCCAGAUUCUGAUGAUGAUUCAGAACUCAGUGUGGAAGAACAUCAGAGGGAGAGGCAGGCGCUCUUUGACUUAUCAAGCUGCUCCCUGAGGCCCAAAAGCUUCAAGUGUCAGACUUGUAAAAAGUCAUAUAUAGGGAAGUGGGGACUGGCCCAGCAUUUUAAACUUAAUCCAGGCCAUGGCCAGCUGGACCCUGAGAUGGUGCUAUCUGAGAAAGCCAAUGGGAGCACCCUCCGUGGGUGCACAGAGGAAAGGACGCUCAGCCUGACCUUCCCGGGGCUGUCCGUGCCAGCGGCUCCGCGUGAGGGAGGGGCCCGCUCCUGCUUGGUGAGAGAGUCAGCACGCGGUGGCCUGGGUAAUGUUUGCAUCUGGGUGUCGUUUUCGGCCAUUCUCACACUGUUAUAAAGAAAUACUUGAGACCAGGUGAACUGUCACCCCUACAACUCAGCUUGCAACCAGCCCUGGCCACCACCAGUUUCCCCA